UCACAAAGAAUUAGAGGCAGAGCUGGGAGGGUGUGAGGAGGCCACCUGUCCAGGUCAGAGCAGUGCGUCCCUUCACUGUUCCGGGACGUUCCUGCUGUUCAGCUCCCACGGGUGCGUGCUGGAUGUCAGCUGUGCUUAGCCCCGUGCUGGGCAUUGUGGGAGGGGAAGAGAAGAAGCUAUGAUUUCCCCGACAUCUUGAGCGUUUACUGGGUGCCAGGCAGCGCACGGAGCGCUAUUUCGAAAUGGUUUCAUCUCAUCGUCAGAACUGGGGAACAGGAAGUGUUAUCCACCUGUUACAGGCAGCUAGGAAAAUGCAGCGCGGUGAAGAAAACCAACAUCGCCGAAGAUUAUCAUCUUGAUGUGUUUCCUUCCUGUCUUCUAACAUCGAGUUCUAUCCAUUACUGAAAAUGGAAUAUUGGAGGGGCACCUGGAUGGC